rnacentral:rRNA from 1 species
CCUACGGGAGGCAGCAGUAGGGAAUAUUGCUCAAUGGGGGAAACCCUGAAGCAGCAACGCCGCGUGGAGGAUGAAGGUUUUCGGAUUGUACACUCCUUUUGUUAGAGAAGAUAAUGACGUUAUCUCACGAAUAAUCACCGGCUAACUCCGUGCCAGCAGCCGCGGUAAUACGUAGGGUGCAAGCGUUACUCGGAAUCACUGGGCGUAAAGAGCGCGUAGGCGGGAUAGCAAGUCAGAUGUGAAAUCCUAUGGCGUAACCAUAGAACUGCAUUUGAAACUGUUAGUCUAGAGUAUGGUAGAGGUAGGUGGAAUUCUGGGUGUAGGGGUAAAAUCCGUAGAGAUCAAGAGGAAUACUCAUGGCGAAGGCGACCUGCUAGAACAUAACUGACGCUGAUGCGCGAAAGCGUGGGGAGCAAACAGGAUUAGAUACCCCAGUAGUC